GGUUAAGUGAAUAAGGGCGCACGGUGGAUGCCUUGGCACUAGGAGCCGAUGAAGGACGGGACUAACACCGAUAUGCUUUGGGGAGCUGUACGUAAGCUAUGAUCCAGAGAUUUCCGAAUGGGGGAACCCAACAUCUUUAAUAGGAUGUUACGAUUGUGUGAAUACAUAGCACAUUCGAGGUAGACGCAGAGAACUGAAACAUCUAAGUACCUGCAGGAAGAGAAAGAAAAUUCGAUUCCCUGAGUAGCGGCGAGCGAAACGGGAAAAGCCCAAACCAGCAAGCUUGCUUGUUGGGGUUGUAGGACUCCAAUAUGGUAGUUCUUUCAGAUAGUCGAAUGACUUGGAAAAGUCAGUCAAAGAGGGUAAAAACCCCGUAGACGAAAUGUGGAAGACACCUAGGAGGAUCCUGAGUACGGCGGAACACGAGAAAUUCCGUCGGAAUCCGGGAGGACCAUCUCCCAAGGCUAAAUACUCCCUAGUGACCGAUAGUGAACCAGUACCGUGAGGGAAAGGUGAAAAGCACCCCGGAAGGGGAGUGAAAUAGAACCUGAAACCGUGUGCCUACAACAAGUCAAAGCCCGUUAAUGGGUGAUGGCGUGCCUUUUGUAGAAUGAACCGGCGAGUUACGAUUGCAUGCGAGGUUAAGUUGAAGAGACGGAGCCGCAGCGAAAGCGAGUCUGAAUAGGGCGUUUGAGUAUGUAGUCGUAGACCCGAAACCAUGUGAUCUACCCAUGUCCAGGUUGAAGGUGCGGUAAAACGCACUGGAGGACCGAACCCACGUACGUUGAAAAGUGCGGGGAUGAGGUGUGGGUAGCGGAGAAAUUCCAAACGAACUUGGAGAUAGCUGGUUCUCUCCGAAAUAGCUUUAGGGCUAGCCUCGGAAUUGAGAAUGAUGGAGGUAGAGCACUGUUUGGACUAGGGGCCCAUCUCGGGUUACCGAAUUCAGAUAAACUCCGAAUGCCAUUCAUUCAUAUCCGGGAGUCAGACUGUG
rnacentral:rRNA from 1 species